GAUGAACGCUGGCGGCGUGCCUAAUACAUGCAAGUCGAACGGGGAGUAGCAAUACUCUUAGUGGCGAACGGGUGAGUAACGCGUUGGUACCUGCCCCGAAGCGGGGGAUAACGGACCGAAAGGUCCGCUAAUACCCCAUGUGCUCGGUAACGAGUAAAGGUGAAAACCACUUUGGGAGGGGCAUGCGUCCCAUCAGCUAGUUGGUAAGGUAACGGCUUACCAAGGCGAUGACGGGUAGGGGGCCUGAGAGGGUGGCCCCCCACAAUGGAACUGAAACACGGUCCAUACACCUACGGGUGGCAGCAGUAGGGAAUAUUGGUAAUGGGCGCAAGCCUGAACCAGCAACGCCGCGUGUGCGAUGACGGCCUUCGGGUUGUAAAGCACUUUUGACUGCGACGAGGAAGGACGGUACCGGUCGAAUCAGCCUCGGCUAACUACGUG
rnacentral:rRNA from 1 species